CUGCUGUUAAGUUCGUAGUUGGAUCAAGAGUUCGACAGUGCAAGGUGGCCCCGCUUGUUACGAUGGCUCCGGUCACCGUAACGGCGGCGGAUCAACCCCUUGCGCCAAACUGUCGUCUCUAACAGACCGAAACGGUUCCCUGUGAGUAGGUUCCUUCAUUGGGGCUGAAAGCGCCUACGCAUCAACCAUAUGCUUACGGGACGUCGGUCAAAGUUACUGUGAACAAACCAGCGUGUCCAAAACAGGCUUUCGCCUGAAUGUUCGAGCAUGGAAUAACAAGGGAUCGAUUCUCUCGGUUCUUUUUGUUGGUUUUUAACCCGAGAAGGAGUAAUUCAGGCCACGGUGUCUGGGCUGGGUUCCCCUAGUCUCCGGAUUAGGCCCCAGUUAGGCCGUGUCCUUACGGGAUCAAUAGGGACUGACGGGGUCGUACGUACUUCCACGUCAGAGGUGACAUUCUUAGAUCGUGGGAAGACGAACUUCUGCGAAAGCAUUCGACAAGAAUGUCUUCAUUAAUCAAGAACGAGAGUGUGGGGAUCGAAGAUGAUCAGAUACCGUCGUAGUCCACUACUGUAAACAAUGCCGUCUCAGGAUUGAGAAGUGAACCUAAUGACUUUCACAGCACUAACCCCUGAAACGAGAAAUCAAAGAUUAUGGGUUCAGGGGGGAGUACAUUCGCAAGGCUGAAACUUAAAGGAAUUGACGGAAUGACACCACAAGGCGUGGAGUAUGCGGCUUAAUUUGACUCAACACGGGGAAUUUUACUAGGUC
rnacentral:rRNA from 1 species